CGAGGGUAAAGCCAAAAUAGAGGCCGGUUUUUGUUACAGACUGCACUGGGGAUCCUGCCCUCGA
rnacentral:tRNA from 1 species